GCCUUUGGAAGGGAGGUUCAUUUCAUAGUAGAGCAUGUGCACAGAUUCUCCAAGUCACGUUAAGACAGUGAAGAGAAACAGGCAGAGGGGAGCAUGCACCCAAAAUUUGCUUCCAAUCAAUUCAAAUGGUGUAUAACAGCUCUGGGUAUCUGUCUUUGCUUUUUGUGUUGUAUGGCUGCUGAUAAUUCUACCAUGGAGUGCCAAGUGGCUAUUGGUCCCUUUAACUGUAAUCUUCCUGAAGAGAAUAUCAUUUCUGCAAAUAACUCCUUAUCUUAUGUUUACAGAG
ensembl:lncRNA